rnacentral:rRNA from 1 species
AUUGAACGCUGGCGGCCGGCCUAACACAUGCAAGUCGGACGAGUGGCGAACGGGUGAGUAAUGUAUGGGAACCUACCUGAUAGUGGGGGAUACCUGCUCGAAACGGUAGCUAAUACCGCAUACCAUCCGAUCUGCCCAUCUGUGAUUAGCUGGUUGGUGGGGUAAAGGCUCACCUAGGCGACGAUCCCUAGCUGGUCUGCGAGGAUGAUCAGCCACACUGGGACUGAGACACGGCCCAGACUCCUACGGGAGGCAGCAGUGGGGAAUAUUGGACAAUGGGCGCAAGCCUGAUGCAGCCAUGCCGCGUGUCUGAAGAAGGCCUUCGGGUUGUAAAGGACUUUUGUCAGGGAAGCGUUACCUGAAGAAUAAGCACCGGCUAACUACGUGCCAGCAGCCGCGGUAAUAC